UGGGGAAUAUUGCACAAUGGGCGCAAGCCUGAUGCAGCCAUGCCGCGUGUAUGAAGAAGGCCUUCGGGUUGUAAAGUACUUUCAGCGAGGAGGAAGGCGUUGUGGUUAAUAACCGCAGCGAUUGACGUUACUCGCAGAAGAAGCACCGGCUAACUCCGUGCCAGCAGCCGCGGUAAUACGGAGGGUGCAAGCGUUAAUCGGAAUUACUGGGUGUAAAGCGCACGCAGGCGGUCUGUCCAGUCGGAUGUGAAAUCCCCGGGCUCAACCUGGGAACUGCAUCCGAAACUGGCAGGCUAGAGUCUUGUAGAGGGGGGUAGAAUUCCAGGUGUAGCGGUGAAAUGCGUAGAGAUCUGGAGGAAUACCGGUGGCGAAGGCGGCCCCCUGGACAAAGACUGACGCUCAGGUGCGAAAGCGUGGGGAGCAAACA
rnacentral:rRNA from 1 species